rnacentral:rRNA from 1 species
UACGUAGGGCGCAAGCGUUAUCCGGAAUUAUUGGGCGUAAAGAGCUCGUAGGCGGUUUGUCGCGUCUGCUGUGAAAACUCGGGGCUUAACUCCGGGCCUGCAGUGGGUACGGGCAGACUAGAGUGCGGUAGGGGAGACUGGAAUUCCUGGUGUAGCGGUGAAAUGCGCAGAUAUCAGGAGGAACACCGGUGGCGAAGGCGGGUCUCUGGGCCGUAUCUGACGCUGAGGAGCGAAAGCGUGGGGAGCGAACAGG